rnacentral:lncRNA from 1 species
AAGCAGCCAGCUCUCCUGAAUAGAUGCUCCUAUAUGCACCAGCCUAUCCCAUAAUUGUUGUCUAUUAUUUGCCUCAUUGUUUGCAUAUACCACUGUAAUUAGAUUCUUGAACGUGGUACCUCUUUUCUAAACUUCACAGUGAAUAAAUUGUUCAUCAGUCACCAAUAUUUUCACCUUAAUGUUUGGUUUACACAUUAUCCAAAUUCUCCCAUUGGAAUAUUCAUUAUAAUUGCAGUAGUUUCUCCAAUCACAAUAGACUUUAUUUAGUAUCCUUCUAGCCUUCCUUUCCUUUACUCUUGUUUCUAAACAAC